GUCCUAGCUUUGCCAGCACAUAUACUAAAAUUGGAAUGAUACAGAGAAGAUUAGCAUGGCCCUUGCACAAGGAUGACACAAAUUCAUGAAGCAUCCCAUAUUAAA
rnacentral:snRNA from 1 species